UAGUCCACGCCGUAAACGAUGGUCACUAGCUGUUCGGACUUCGGUCUGAGUGGCUAAGCGAAAGUGAUAAGUGACCCACCUGGGGAGUACGUUCGCAAGAAUGAAACUCAAAGGAAUUGACGGGGGCCCGCACAAGCGGUGGAGCAUGUGGUUUAAUUCGAUGAUACGCGAGGAACCUUACCAGGGCUUAAAUGUAAGUUGCAUUAGCUAGAGAUAGUCAUUUCUUCGGACUACUUACAAGGUGCUGCAUGGUUGUCGUCAGCUCGUGCCGUGAGGUGUCAGGUUAAGUCCUAUAACGAGCGCAACCCCUGUUGUUAGUUGCCAGCGAUUUAAGUCGGGAACUCUAACAAGACUGCCAGUGCAAACUGUGAGGAAGGUGGGGAUGACGUCAAAUCAUCACGGCCCUUACGUCCUGGGCUACACACGUGCUACAAUGGCAUGUACAAUGGGCAGCCAACCUGCGAAGGUGAGCCAAUCCCAAAAAGCAUGUCCCAGUUCGGA
rnacentral:rRNA from 1 species